AUUACCGCGGCUGCUGGCACGUAGUUAGCCGUGGCUUUCUGGUUAGGUACCGUCAAGGUGCCAGCUUAUUCAACUAGCACUUGUUCUUCCCUAACAACAGAGUUUUACGACCCGAAAGCCUUCAUCACUCACUGCUCCGUCAGACUUUCG
rnacentral:rRNA from 1 species